CAAAAAAUUUCAUUUUGAAAAAUGCUAGAACUUCAAUAAAUUAUAUUGCUUGGCCUGAACGAAACCCAAGCGAAUCGUAAAAAAAUGGCUACGCUCGGGAUGACCUCAACAGGGCAGUGCGGGAGUAUUCGGGGUUAGGUUUUAUCUAAGUUGUUGCUCGACUUGCUGGCACCUUUACUAUCAUGACAACAAUACAAACGAGACAAAGGAGAUGGCAGCGGCGAAGGAGAAAUAACCGGGCAAAAUUCGUAGCAUAACACGGCGGACAGGUGAAUCGGGUCAGCGACGGAGGCAGCAGCAAACGGGGAAAAAAGGGAAGAAAAAAUGUAAGAAUGCUUUAGUCAAGUGUUUGAUUGGAAUAUACCCAGUACCAAGAUAUCUAAGCAACUUUAACAUAUCCAAAAAAAAAAAGUCCGUGAUCAUGCGAUAUCCGGAGUUGUCUAAUGAGAUCGAAUCGCCUGUUGAUAUAUAUAACACUUUAUGGCACAUGUCUCCAUUUAAUUGUCACCGUUGCAGAGCUUUACCAUAUCCUUUAGACAAUUUGAAUGUAUGCAGGGUAUGCAGAAAAAUGGAAAAAGCUGCUGUCAAAUGAACGUGCAAAAAAUUGUGCUGCUUUCAUGGAAUAAAAGGGGAUCAAUCGGGUGCGGGGAAUAUGAUGGCGAAUAAAUUUUUUCUCAACUUUGUUGCAACGUGACAUUUUUGCCUCGCCCCAUUUGGCGGUGACAACGGGAUGAGGAAAGCAAUUGCACCAGAUGAGAGAGCAGGGUGCAGGCUAGCAUUAUUAAAAUGACAUGCUUUCCCGAGCGUUUCACUUGAAUAUUGAUUGCGGCUCCUUUGAUGUGCUCAUUCUUGUUAAAAGAUGAAGCGCACACCUGACACAAAAGUCGCUAAUUAAGUCACGAUGGGCCGCAGAGUGCAGAUGUGUGGAAAACGCUUUUUCGAAGCUAAUCAGGCAAAAUCUUGCAAAAUUGUUUGGCCAAAUCUUGCGAAUUCAUGUACAAUUAGCCCGCAGCAUGAGGACUACAGCACAUUAGCCGGGCCAUAACAAAAAGUGGCUCUCAUAUGUUAGCCUGACUGUCCUAAAGGCGCGCAGCGGCAUUGUCGUAAUGUCUUCAGCACAAAAUGACAUUGACAAUGAACCGAAAUCAGUUAGACACAAGAAAAAACUGAAUUUUUUCAAUCUCCCUAGACAGCUUGGGAAAACCGAACGAGUUUGACGAAAUCAGAUACUUGGGCUCACUUGACAAGACGCGCGCGUCAACUUUUUUUGCCGCUGGCAAUGUAAAGAAAAGUGUGUUUCGUGUUUAUUUGAAAAAUCGCUAAAGGAUAACUAAAGCAUUCCCCCAAGGGCGUUUGGCGAGCACGCAAGUGAUUUGUAUGCGAAUUUACAUACGCAGCGUGGCCCAAACCAACUCGACCCACACCUAUUCAAAUAGAACUCCCUGGGUGUUUUCCAACUCGUUGAGCAGCUCCAAAAGUCGUCAUUGCUGGCUGGAUUCAAUGUGUUGCGCUUUGAAAUGAAUCAAUCGGCUUAAAAUGAAAACACCUUGCAAAGCCCAGAAGUGGCUUUCUGCGCACUCGUGGUCGCUUAGCAGUAAAUUGAAUUUAUUUUUGAGACACCAUUUUGGCUCAGUUUCCCAACCUCUGAUCAAAA